UACGGGAGGCAGCAGUGGGGAAUAUUGCACAAUGGGCGCAAGCCUGAUGCAGCCAUGCCGCGUGUAUGAAGAAGGCCUUCGGGUUGUAAAGUACUUUCAGUCGUGAGGAAGGUGUUAAGGUUAAUAACCUUAGCAAUUGACGUUAGCGACAGAAGAAGCACCGGCUAACUCCGUGCCAGCAGCCGCGGUAAUACGGAGGGUGCGAGCGUUAAUCGGAAUUACUGGGCGUAAAGGGCACGCAGGCGGUUAAUUAAGUUGGAUGUGAAAUCCCCGGGCUUAACCUGGGAAUGGCAUUCAAGCUGGUUAGCUAGAGUCUUGUAGAGGGGGUAGAAUUCCAUGUGUAGCGGUGAAAUGCGUAGAGAUGUGGAGGAAUACCGGUGGCGAAGGCGGCCCCUGGACAAAGGACUGACGCUCAUGUGCGAAAGCGUGGGGAGCGAAACAGGGAUUUAGAUACC
rnacentral:rRNA from 1 species